GUCUCUGUAGCGCAAUGAAUAGCGCGUUGGACUUCUGAUCCAAAGGUCGUGGGUUCGAAUCCCACCUGGGUUGGACU
rnacentral:tRNA from 1 species